GAAAGAAAGAAAGAAAUCAGUUGUCCCCUUCCUCCCUCACCGCUCCAUGUGCGUCCCUCCUGAAGCUUCGCGCUCGGUGGAAGAGGACGACCUUCCCCGAUAGAGGAGGACCGAUCUUCGGUCAAGGGUAUAUGAGUAGCUGCUAGAACCUCCAAACAAGCUCUCAAGAAAUAAAUUUCCAAGAAGGUGAAAGACCCAUAUAUGGAAAACUAU
rnacentral:snRNA from 1 species